UCCAGAGUUUGAUCAUGGCUCAGAUUGAACGCUGGCGGCAGGCCUAACACAUGCAAGUCGAGCGGUAGCACAGAGAGCUUGCUCUCGGGUGACGAGCGGCGGACGGGUGAGUAAUGUCUGGGAAACUGCCUGAUGGAGGGGGAUAACUACUGGAAACGGUAGCUAAUACCGCAUAACGUCGCAAGACCAAAGUGGGGGACCUUCGGGCCUCAUGCCAUCAGAUGUGCCCAGAUGGGAUUAGCUAGUAGGUGGGGUAACGGCUCACCUAGGCGACGAUCCCUAGCUGGUCUGAGAGUGAUGACCACCACACUGAACUGAGACACGUCAUCNNNNNNNNNNCGCAGGCGGACCGUCAAGUCGGAUGUGAAAUCCCCGGGCUCAACCUGGGAACUGCAUUCGAAACUGGCAGCGCUAGAGUCUUGUAGAGGGGGGUAGAAUUCCAGGUGUAGCGGUGAAAUGCGUAGAGAUCUGGAGGAAUACCGGUGGCGAAGGCGGCCCCCUGGACAAAGACUGACGCUCAGGUGCGAAAGCGUGGGGAGCAAACAGGAUUAGAUACCCUGGUAGUCCACGCUGUAAACGAUGUCGAUUUGGAGGUUGUGCCCUUGAGGCGUGGCUUCCGGAGCUAACGCGUUAAAUCGACCGCCUGGGGAGUACGGCCGCAAGGUUAAAACUCAAAUGAAUUGACGGGGGCCCGCCCAAGCGGUGGAGCAUGUGGAUUAAUUCUAUGCAACGCGAAGAAUUACUUGGUCUUGACAUCCCCAGAACUUUCCAGAGAUGGAUUGUUUGCUUUCGGGAACUGUGAGACAGUGCUGCAUGGUUGUCGUCAGCUCGUGUUGUGAAAUGUUGGGUUAAGUCCCGCAACGAGCGCAACCCUUAUCCUUUGUUGCCAGCGGUCCGGCCGGGAACUUCAAAGGAGACUGCCAGUGAUAAACUGGAGGAAGGUGGGGAUGACGUCAAGUCAUCAUGGCCCUUACGACCAGGGCUACAUCACGUGCUACAAUGGCAUAUACAAAGAGAAGCGACCUCGCGAGAUUCAAUGCAGACCUAGAUAGGAGGUGGUCGUAGU
rnacentral:rRNA from 1 species